rnacentral:misc_RNA from 1 species
UUUUUCACUUUGUAAUUUUCUAGAAAGUUGUUUAGAAGUUUGAUUACUCUCUUUCUUACCGUCUUCCUCAGACACCCAUUAUGUGGAGUAUAUUGAUGAUUAUGUUGCAAGGGAGGGAAAAAAGCUCGAGUGACGAAACAAAAGUAAUCAGAUUGCUUAUUCAAUAUCCUCCACAAACAGAUUUUGAGAUUGAAAAUCUUGUUAACUUGUGUGCCAAUUGAUAUGUUCUUGUUACAAAUACCAUGAACUGUCUUUUCAUGCAUUUAGACUUCUAAAGCUUGUAUCUAAUAUUGUUUCAUCAUUUACUUGCUAGAGCAUAAAUUCCACUACAAGUAGGACGAAUCGAUUGGUUUUCUUCCCGGACAAAAUCACCUGAUUCACAAAAUUGACAUGUACUAGAGCCGUGCUAAUCACCAC